GUACUCUGGGAUGAGUCCGUCCCUACAUUCAAUGAUCAUCUGUUUCACUUUGUCAGCUAAAUUUAUUUCCUUUUUCUUUAGCUGAUCAUUAAAGAUGCAACAUUU